rnacentral:miRNA from 1 species
CUCCUCCACAGCCCCUGCUCAU